rnacentral:lncRNA from 1 species
UGCGGAAUUUCCGCACUUUUUCUUUACUUUCGGACCGCCCUUAAAAAAUCAGUACUAUUUCCGGACUUUCCGGACUUGUAGACACCCUGGAGGAGGCUCGCAUACUUUCAAGGCAAGUUUUGUAAAAAGACAUCAUUUCAAUGGCUUUGAGCUCCUACCAUGGGUCAGAUUGGGACGUAGUUGUAAUUGGAAUACAAUGAAAACGAGGGAGAGAAAGAAGAAAAGGAGGUGGAGGAGAAGGAAGAAAAAUGAAAAAGAAGAAGAAAAAUGCCGAGAGGAAGGAGAAGAGGAAGAAGGAGGAAAAGAGAAAGAAGGAGAAAAGGAAGAAACGGAGAAGACAGCUAUUCUUCUUCUCAUAUUCUCUCUUUUUCUUUUCUUUCUUUUUUCUCCUCCUCUUCUUGAUCUUCUUCUCUUUCUUUCCUUUUUCCUCUACAUAUUUUUUCCCGCCUUUAUUUUUCUCGUCUUUUUCUCCAUCUCCUCUAUCUCUUUCUUCAUUUUUUCUACUUAUUUUCCUCUCAAAUCAUCCUCCUAUUCGUUUUAUUCUUCUAUUCCCUUCUCCCAUGCAUCUUCUUCUUACUCUUCUUUCUCUCCCCUCCUUCCUCCUCUUCCUUUGCUUCCUUCUCUCCUCUUCUUGUUAUUCUUCUAUUCCCUUCUCCUCUGCAUCUUUUUCUUCGUCUUCAUUCUCUCUUCCUCCUUCCUCCUCUUCCUUUGCUUCCUUCUCUCCUCUUCUCUUUAUUCUUCUAUUCCCUUCUCCUCUGCAUCUUUUUCUUCGUCUUUAUUCUCUCUUCCUUCUCUUCCUUUACUUCCUUUUCUCUUCUUGUGCUCCUUUUCCAUCCUAUACUCCUCCCUCUUUUUAUUCCUAUUUCUUUUCAUCUUCUGUUUCGUCUCCCUUUUCCUCACUGUCUUGUUCCUCCUUCCUCUUUUUUCUUCCCCCGAUUCCUUCUCAAGAAUUCUUGGAUACCCCUUCUCCUUUCUUUUCUUCAUUUCCCUCUUCUUCUACUUCUUCUUCUUCUUCUUCUUCUCCUCCUCAAUCUUUUGAUUUCGAAGAAAUCUUCAUCCGACUCAUCGUCGCUCUCCUAACGUACUUAUUCCUGUACUUCCACAUGAGCAUCAAGAAGCAUAGCAGCGUUAUACUAAGCACGGGCUCACGCGGAAAUCGCGAUGUAUCGAUUAUUAUGCUAUUUAAACCUAUGGUAAAGAAUCGAUUAUUAGGGUGUUCGCUGCGAACACCCUGUUUAUCGAUCCUUUUCCAUAGGUUUAAAUGGCAUAUCAAUCGAAAUAUCGCAAAGCACGGCACGCCACUGAUACUGAG